rnacentral:tRNA from 1 species
GCCGGGGUGGCGGAACUGGUAGACGCGCCGGAUUCAAAAUCCGGUUUCUUCACGGAAGUGCCGGUUCGAUUCCGGCCCUCGGUACCA